rnacentral:rRNA from 1 species
CCGAUCUCCGGUGCAGAGGUGCUGCCGAAGCAAGUCAGUAAUCGGACGCCCGUGACGGUCCCUCCGCCGUCGAAGCAACGCAAGGAUCAGACGGUCCGCACGGUCUCCGGUGGAGCGGUGCUGCCGACGCAAGUUGGGGGUCGGACGCCCGUGUCAGUCCCUCCGUCGUCGCCCAACCAACUUGGAAAUCGGAGGGUCAGCACCGUCUCCGCUGGAGAGGUGCCGCCGAAGCAUGCUGGGAAUCGGUCGCCCUUGUCGGCCCAGCUGCCGCCAAAGCAACGCAGGGAUGAUCGGACGGUCUCCACGCUCUCCCAUGGAGAGGUGCUGCGGAAGCAAGUCGGGGACCGGACGCCCGUGUCGGUCCAUCCGGCGCCGAAGCAACGCAGGACUCAGACGGUCGGCCAGGUCUCCGGCAGACAACCCUUGCCGCAGCUGCACACCACACAACAAGGCAGACCGGCCAGCUCCUCGAAACCUAGUGCAUGUACGGCUCUUCGUGGCAACACUAGUGCGCAAGCUCGUAAGCCAUGUGCUGCUGCAACAAAAACUGUUGUACAAGUUAAGUCGAAGAAGAACAAAGAUAUAGAAGAAGGGGAGGACGAAAUCCGAAGGCUGAACGAAUUGGGAUUGGGAGAUAAUGUCAGCAAGAAAGAUUAUCGUGUUUAUCUCAACCAGUUGCCUGGCAGGCCUGAUGUCGAUAUUUCCACUAAGCUGGAUGCUGUGCAGCUCAAGGAGCUCAAUGUUCGCCAUGCGUUGUAUCGCCUCAAGUAUUAUCAGCUGUCACAAAACGUGCCUGAGGAUAAGCUUUGCUAUGAUAAAUUGAAAGAGGACUACCCCCCUAGCCGUCUUGAGGAGGAGAGAUUCUUUAAGUGCUAUGAGGAAGAUGGCAAAUUAGAUUGGUCUUUCCACACUGAUUACUGCAAGCUUGCUGGCCUGGAGGACUACCAACGGCUGGUCCCUCAAAAUUAUGGUGGUUAUGACUAUGUUCGUUGGGAUGAAUACCACAAUGAAUUUCAUAGCUAUGAGAUUGAACAAGAAUAUGUCAAGUAUUGUGAAGAAUUGUCCAAGAAACUUAAGUGGAUGGAAGCUUAUGUGCUAAAAGAACAAACAUCACUUAUGCGGGGAAUGAUUUUGACCAGAGGAACUUACCAAGCAAUGAAGAUCGCCACUGACUUCUCAAAGAUACAUGCGAACUUAGCCUUUUCUGGCUUCUAUGAGUGGUUCAAGAGCAUGGCUUUUGAUGUUACGAACUACAAAGAGUUCGAUGUACUCUAUUAUGAGAUUUGGCAGAGGUGCAAUCAGGAGAAGAAAUUCAGAGAUGCUUUGGAUGAGGUGUAUGAACUUAACAGGUUCCCAUUGAGCCAAAACAGAAUGAGAUGUGCACUGGAGAAUGACACAUUCUGCUCGGAAUUCGAAGAGGAGUUUCUUGGUUUCACAGCUUGCCUCAAGGAAUUUGCAGAGGACAAAAGCAAGAUCACUGAGGAUAAAGCCCUGGAGUUGAUUGCAGAGGCACUUAGAAAGGAGACGCCGAAACCAAAGUUCUAUGAGGAUUAUUGUAGGAAGAAGAUAGAUAUUGCUCAAGCUAUUGGAAUAAUUCCCAGCGUACCGGCUUAA